rnacentral:rRNA from 1 species
GGAAUCUUCCACAAUGGACGAAAGUCUGAUGGAGCAACGCCGCGUGAGUGAAGAAGGGUUUCGGCUCGUAAAACUCUGUUGUUAGAGAAGAACAUAUCUGAGAGUAACUGUUCAGGUAUUGACGGUAUUUAACCAGAAAGCCACGGCUAACUACGUGCCAG